rnacentral:sRNA from 1 species
UGUGAACCAAACUUGUUGCUUCGGGGGCGACCCUGCCGACGACUUCGUCGCCGGGUGCCCCCGGAGGCCUUCUAAACACUGCAUCUUUGCGUCGGAGUUUAAAACAAAUUAAACAAAACUUUCAACAACGGAUCUCUUGGUUCUGGCAUCGAUGAAGAACGCAGCGAAAUGCGAUAAGUAAUGUGAAUUGCAGAAUUCAGUGAAUCAUCGAAUCUUUGAACGCACAUUGCGCCCUUUGGUAUUCCGAAGGGCAUGCCUGUUCGAGCGUCAUUUCACCACUCAAGCCUGGCUUGGUAUUGGGCGUCGCGGUUUUCCGCGCGCCUUAAAGUCUUCCGGCUGAGCUGUCCGUCUCUAAGCGUUGUGGAUUUUUCAAUUCGCUUCGGAGUGCGGAUGGCCGCGGCCGUUAAAUCUUUAUUCAAAGGUUGACCUCGGAUCA